GGGAUAGGCUACCCACUCCAGUAUUCUUGGGCUUCCAUGGUGGCUCAACUGGAAAAGAAUCCGCUGGCCCAUGAGGUCACAAAGAGCUGGACACAACUGAGUGACUGAGCACACAGGAGGAUCUUACAUGUGAAGAUUAUCUCGGGUCAUCUAAUCACAUAGCUCUUAAAAGCAGAGCACUUUCUCUAGCUGAAGCAAGAGGGAGGAAGCAGAAAGGUAACUGAGAGCAAAGUCAAGCAUGAGAAGGCUUCAGUGCGCUGCUGCUGGCUCUGAGAGGUAGGGACCCACCUGCAAGGACCCCAGAGAGGCCUCUCGGAGAAAACUGAGCUGUCAGCCAGCAGCCAGCAAGGAAAUGGGCCUCAGUCCUACCACCCCUCCGAGAAACUGAAUUCAGGCAACAUCCUGAAUGAGCGUAAAAGUGGCUUCUCCCCAGAGCUCCCGGGAGGAACACAGCCCUGCUGCAAAGUUGACUUUAUCUCAGCCAGAGCCACGUCAGACUUCUGACCUCUGGAAACUGAGAUAAUACACCGGUGUUGUGCUCAACUGUUAAAUCUGUGAUGAUCCGCUACUAUGGCAACAGGAAACACAUGCGGCCAACCUCACACCAACUACCCACAUCACCGCGGAUCAGCGUUACACUCCCUGCGUGACACUCUUAAUGACAUUGGCUCUCCCAGCACCCACACGCCUGGCACACGGACGUGCAGCUGUCCCCUUGCAGAGGAAGACGCUGAGGACGGAAACCAGCAAAUGCUGGAGCCAGUUCCUCUCUGAAUCAGGCCCUCUGUGACGGAGCCUGUGUGUUCAUCAAACUCUCUAGGAGAAGUCCAAGCGAAGCAGCAAGCCUCCUGGCUUGAUUGUUUCUGCAGCGC